CGCGAAUCGCCCUUCGGGGUGCAGCAGGCGCGAAAACUUUGCAAUACACGACAGUGUGACAGGGCUAUCCCGAGUGCCAUCCGCUGAGGAAGGCUUUUACCCAGUCUAGAACGCUGGGGGAAUAAGGAGAGGGCAAGUCUGGUGUCAGCCGCCGCGGUAAUACCAGCUCUCCGAGUGGUGUGGAUGUUUAUUGGGCCUAAAGCAUCCGUAGCUGGCUAAGUUAGUCCCUUGUUAAAUCCACCGAAUUAAUCGUUGGAUUGCGGGGGAUACUGCUUGGCUAGGGGACGAGAGAGGCAGACGGUAUUUCCGGGGUAGGGGUGAAAUCCUAUAAUCCCGGGAAGACCACCAGUGGCGAAGGCUGUCUGCUAGAACGCGCCCGACGGUGAGGGAUGAAAGCUGGGGGAGCGAACCGGAUUAGAUACCCGGGUAGUCCCAGCUGUAAACGAUGCAGGCUAGGUGUUUGGACGGCCACGUGCCGUUCUAGUGCCGCAGGGAAGCUGUUAAGCCUGCCGCCUGGGGAGUACGAUCGCAAGAUUGAAACUUAAAGGAAUUGGCGGGGGAGCAC
rnacentral:rRNA from 1 species